ACCCGGGAUAGCUCAGUCAGUAGAACAUGAAGCUCUUAAUCUCAGGGUUGUGAGUUCAAGACCCGUGUUGGGCA